GUGUUCGGCAGCACGUAUACUAAAAUUGGAACGAUACAGAGAAGAUUAGCAUGGCUCGUGCGUAAGGAUGACAAGCACACGCACACACACACACGAAGGAAAG